GACGAACGCUGGCGGCGUGCCUAACACAUGCAAGUCGAACGGACUUAGAGGUGCUUGCACCUCGAAAGUUAGUGGCGGACGGGUGAGUAACGCGUGAGUAACCUGCCUUACAGAGGGGGAUAACGUCUGGAAACGGACGCUAAUACCGCAUAACAUAUUGAUAUGGCAUCAUGUUGAUAUCAAAGGGAAUAACCGCUGUAAGAUGGACUCGCGUCUGAUUAGCUAGUUGGUAAGGUAACGGCUUACCAAGGCGACGAUCAGUAGCCGAACUGAGAGGUUGAUCGGCCACAUUGGGACUGAGACACGGCCCAGACUCCUACGGGAGGCAGCAGUGGGGGAUAUUGCACAAUGGGGGGAACCCUGAUGCAGCAACGCCGCGUGAGGGAAGAAGGUUUUCGGAUUGUAAACCUCUGUCUUUGGUGACGAUAAUGACGGUAGCCAAG
rnacentral:rRNA from 1 species